UUCCUUCUUCCAACUCUUCCAGAACUGCCUUUCCAUUACCAAAUUCCUGCUUUACAGCCUUUCUUUGCGGAUUUCAAGCCCCAGACCGAAAUUUAAUUCGCUGAGAUAUUCCUCUGUAGCGCUUUCGUGGCUUGUUUCGCGGAGGUCAAAACAUGUCUUGUUGGCGGUGAAUUUAUUGGAGAUGUUCCUUUAUACCACAAAAUACUUGCCGCUCUUUUGACGGGUGCUAUAGCAAUUGCAGUGGCUAAUCCAACUGAUUUUGUCAAAAUUUGACUUCAAGCUGAAGGAAAACCACCGGCUGGGGUUCCUAGGCGCUAUUCUGGAGGUUUGGAUGCUUAUUUCAACAUAGAGAGGCAGGUGAAAUCUAGAAUGAUGGGAGAUUCAACAUACAAAAACGCAUUUGAUUGCUUCAUCAAAACUUUGAAGAGUGAGGUAUGUUGAGUUGUCUUGGAAGAUAAAAAGAAAAUUGUCAAUAAUAUUGGCUCUCUCUCUCUCUCUCUCUCUCUCAUAUACACUGCA